UGUGUAUGAUAUGUGUGUGCAUAGUGUAUGUAUAUAUAUAUAUAAAUAACGUGUACAUGUGUGCGCAUGUGUGUGUAUAUGUGUGUGUAUGUAUGUACAUAUGUAUAGAUUGGUGCAUGUGUGUAUAAUAUGUGUGUGUAUAAUGGUGUACACAUACAUCCACACAUAUUAUACAUAUGCAUCUAUAUCUAUACAUAUGUGUAUACAUAUUUGUGCUUGUGUCUAUAGAGACAUAUACAUGUAGAGUGCUGUGUGUAUAUGUGUGUACGCACACACAUACACACAUAUUAUACAUAUACAUCUAUAUCUAUCUAUAAAUAUGUGUAUAUAUAUUUGUGUGUGAGGCUAUAGAUACGCGUGUAUGUAAAUUGCUGUUUGUGUAUGUGUGUAUACACACAUGCAUACACACAUAUUUAUACAUAUACACAUAUACACAGAUGUGCACACAUACAUAUGUGUGUGUAUGUAUUUGUGCAUGUGUGUCUCUACAGAUACACGUAUAUGUAAAUCGCUGUGCGUGUACAUGUGAUAUAUUUCAGUGCAUGUACGAGGACCAGGUGAGAAGGCAGCUGCAAUGUUUCCGACAUUAUAUCAUUUAAAAGGAGCUUUAGAAACUUUGGUGAAAAUGCUGAGCCUCUGCUGAGCCUGCAGUGAUGGAAAUGGCUGAUCCCCAAGUGCGACCGCCGAUGUGGCCUGGCAUGCUGGGCAUUGAUUCUCCAAACUCACAUCUGCCGUGGCAGCUCCGCGACCCUGGGAAAGCGACGUCCAUCAGCCAUCCUCUAAGUGACUUCACCUGCGUCUCAAAGUGCAACAUUUCUGCUUGUCCCUUGACUGAUUUUCUGAAUGUAAAUAGUGUGGAAAGGGCACCACGGGGACGGAAACCUGCAUGAGAAACGUCAUACAGCAAAACUGCAAGCUGCCAUCACAUGCCCAACAUGCUACGGGGUCUGGACGUUAAAUGAUGAUCUGUUAAUUAAACAACUGCAACUUG